UACGAGUGCCUCAAGCGUUAUCCGGAAUCAUUGGGCGUAAAGGUUGUGUAGGUGGUCAUAUUAGUCUUCUGUUAAAUUCUUCGGCUUAACCGGGGACCUGCGGAGGAAACGGUAUGACUAGAGGAUGCGAGGGGUCUGCGGAACUCAUAGUGUAGCGGUGAAAUGCGUUGAUAUUAUGGGGAACACCAAAAGCGAAGGCAGCAGACUGGAGCACUCCUGACACUGAAACAAGAAAGCGUGGGUCGCGAAUGGG
rnacentral:rRNA from 1 species